rnacentral:rRNA from 1 species
AGAGUUUGAUCAUGGCUCAGGAUGAACGCUGGCGGCGUGCCUAAUACAUGCAAGUCGAACGAAUCUUCUUCGGAGGAUGAGUGGCGAACGGGUGAGUAAUACAUAGGUAACCUGCCCCUGUGCGGGGGAUAACAGGAGGAAACUCCUGCUAAUACCGCAUAGCCAUGAGCACCGCAUGGAGCUCAUGCCAAAUAUCCUUUAUGGGAUAGCGCAGGGAUGGACCUAUGGCGCAUUAGCUUGUUGGCGGGGCAACGGCCCACCAAGGCAACGAUGCGUAGCCGGCCUGAGAGGGCGGACGGCCACAUUGGGACUGAGACACGGCCCAGACUCCUACGGGAGGCAGCAGUAGGGAAUUUUCGGCAAUGGGGGAAACCCUGACCGAGCAACGCCGCGUGAGCGAAGAAGGCCUUCGGGUCGUAAAGCUCUGUUGUAAAGGAAGAACGUCGCAUGCAGGAAAUGGUGUGCGAGUGACGGUACUUUACCAGAAAGCCACGGCUAACUACGUGCCAGCAGCCGCGGUAAUACGUAGGUGGCGAGCGUUAUCCGGAAUCAUUGGGCGUAAAGAGGGAGCAGGCGGCCGCAAGGGUCUGUGGUGAAAGACCGAAGCUAAACUUCGGUGAGCCAUGGAAACCGGGCGGCUAGAGUGCGGAAGAGGAUCGUGGAAUUCCAUGUGUAGCGGUGAAAUGCGUAGAUAUAUGGAGGAACACCAGUGGCGAAGGCGACGGUCUGGGCCGCAACUGACGCUCAUUCCCGAAAGCGUGGGGAGCAAAUAGGAUUAGAUACCCUAGUAGUCCACGCCGUAAACGAUGGUCACUAAGUGUCGGGGGUCAAACCCCGGUGCUGCAGUC